rnacentral:rRNA from 1 species
GAUGAACGCUGGCGGCGUGCCUAAUACAUGCAAGUCGAGCGAACAGACGAGGAGCUUGCUCCUCUGACGUUAGCGGCGGACGGGUGAGUAACACGUGGAUAACCUACCUAUAAGACUGGGAUAACUUCGGGAAACCGGAGCUAAUACCGGAUAAUAUAUUGAACCGCAUGGUUCAAUAGUGAAAGAAGGUUUUGCUGUCACUUAUAGAUGAAUCCGCGCCGCAUUAGCUAGUUGGUAAGGUAACGGCUUACCAAGGCAAAGAUGCCUAGCCGACCUGAGAGGGUGGUCGGCCACACUGGAACUGAGACACGGUCCAGACUCCUACGGGAAGCAGCAGUAGGGAACCUUCCACAAUGGACGAAAGCCUGACGGAGCCACGCCGCGUGAGUGAUGAAGGUCUUCGGAUCGUAAAACUCUGUUAUUAGGGAGGAACAAAUGUGUAACUACCUAUGCACGUAUUGACGGUACCUAAUCAGAAAGCCACGGCUAACUCCGUG